rnacentral:rRNA from 1 species
UGGGGAAUUUUGGACAAUGGGCGAAAGCCUGAUCCAGCAAUGCCGCGUGUGUGAAGAAGGCCUUCGGGUUGUAAAGCACUUUUGUCCGGAAAGAAAUCCUUGGCUCUAAUACAGUCGGGGGAUGACGGUACCGGAAGAAUAAGCACCGGCUAACUACGUGCCAGCAGCCGCGGUAAUACGUAGGGUGCAAGCGUUAAUCGGAAUUACUGGGCGUAAGCGUGCGCAGGCGGUUUGCUAAGACCGAUGUGAAAUCCCCGGGCUCAACCUGGGAACUGCAUUGGUGACUGGCAGGCUAGAGUAUGGCAGAGGGGGGUAGAAUUCCACGUGUAGCAGUGAAAUGCGUAGAGAUGUGGAGGAAUACCGAUGGCGAAGGCAGCCCCCUGGGCCAAUACUGACGCUCAUGCACGAAAGCGUGGGGAGCAAACAGGAUUAGAUACCCUGGUAGUCCACGCCCUAAACGAUGUCAACUAGUUGUUGGGAUCAUUCCUUAGUAACGUAGCUAACGCGUGAAGUUGACCGCCUGGGGAGUACGGUCGC